rnacentral:rRNA from 1 species
GAUGAACGCUGGCGGCGUGCCUAAUACAUGCAAGUCGAGCGAACAGACGAGGAGCUUGCUCCUCUGACGUUAGCGGCGGACGGGUGAGUAACACGUGGAUAACCUACCUAUAAGACUGGGAUAACUUCGGGAAACCGGAGCUAAUACCGGAUAAUAUAUUGAACCGCAUGGUUCAAUAGUGAAAGACGGUUUUGCUGUCACUUAUAGAUGGAUCCGCGCCGCAUUAGCUAGUUGGUAAGGUAACGGCUUACCAAGGCAACGAUGCGUAGCCGACCUGAGAGGGGGAUCGGCCACACUGGAAGUGAGACACGGUCCAGACUCCUACGGGAGGCAGCAGUAGGGAAUCUUCCGCAAUGGGCGAAAGCCUGACGGAGCAACGCCGCGUGAGUGAUGAAGGUCUUCGGAUCGUAAAACUCUGUUAUUAGGGAAGAACAAAUGUGUAAGUAACUAUGCACGUCUUGACGGUACCUAGUCAGAAAGCCACGGCUAACUACGUG